ACGGAUUACCUUCUCAACCGUUAGAUUAUAUUAAAUCAAAGGUCAAGAUUCUUUUUUUUUCUUUUUUCAUUUUCCCUCACUGGCUCCCUCUCUCUGCCGACAGAUCCUUUUUUUUUAGUCUUUUCAUCUUCUUUGCUCUCAUCUCUCCCAUCGAUUUUGAAGCCUCGAUUUCGUGUCUACGGCCUUGUUCUCUUCCUCAAGUUGAUGCCAUCCCGUUUUGGUCCUCUCUUCCCCAGAAUCCAUCGUUUACGGCCUCUUUGGAGAGAGAGGAGACCGAGAGAAUAAAGAAGAGAUAAAGUUCGGCCGGGGGUGCUCUUCAUCUUGUCUCUGAUAUUUGUUUGGUCGUUUCAUAUUCUGCUGAAAUUUAAUCGAUCUGUUGUUUGUGGUGUUGAGAUCUGUUAAAAUAGAGUUCUUUGAUCACAAUUCUGAGUUUUGAGUUUUCAUAUUCUUGCAGAGAAAUCAGAUUUGUGUUUGCUUGUGUAGAAUCUGUGCUAUCUGUUUCUGUUUUGGUUUGAGAAGAUUGAUUAAUCUGUUUCUGUUUAUGACUGAUCUUAUUUCAAUUGAUACUCUUAAGUUUAAGACAAUUUUGAAAUUAAUCUAAGCUGUUUAGGAUUUGAGUUUCAAUUUGAUCAGUUUCUGAUAGUGUAAAAGUUUGAAGUUUAAGUUUUAGAUUUCAAAAUUAAUUUAAUUUUUGAUUUGUUUGUUCUUGUUACAGGAAGAAGCCGAAUAUGAAGAAGCUUUGUUGGUGGAGAUGGAUCCGAGCAAGAAGAAGAAAGAGAGAAAGAGGGAGAAGACAUAGACGUAAGGAAGAUGGAAGAGGAAGGUGACGAAAGAGGAAGGCAGCGGCGUAGAUUAGGUUUAGUUUUGGUUGGUUUAUUAUGUUUCGUUUAGAUAGGGUUAAUUUAAUAAACCGGUUUGUGUGUAAACCAAAUUUAAGAAAUAAACCGAUAUUAAUUGUAAACCAGUUAUUUGUAUACUGAUUUUAAUUAAUAAAUAAAAUUUAAUUUUUAAUUAUG
rnacentral:lncRNA from 1 species